UACGUAGGGUGCGAGCGUGUCCGGAAUUAUUGGGCGUAAAGAGCUCGUAGGCGGUCUGUCGCGUCGGCUGUGAAAACCCGGAGCUCAACUCCGGGCCUGCAGUCGAUACGGGCAGACUGGAGGUAUGCAGGGGAGAACGGAAUUCCUGGUGUAGCGGUGAAAUGCGCAGAUAUCAGGAGGAACACCGGUGGCGAAGGCGGUUCUCUGGGCAUGUCCUGACGUGAGGAGC
rnacentral:rRNA from 1 species